rnacentral:lncRNA from 1 species
UGGGUUUGCACAGAGUCGGACACGACUGAGGCGACUUAGCAGCAGCAGCAGCAGAAAUGUGCUAGCAUCCACAAAUUCAAUUUCACUCCUUUGGAAGAUGAACAUUACCAGGGAUGACUGCCUUGGAACAGUGGGUGCAUAUCAGAUCCUAGUUCAACAAGCAGGUGCCCUUCACUAUCAGCCCACAGCGUUGCCUCUAUCUUCUCUGGAGUUUCACAGCAGUUUUUAGCAACUUUUCAGGUAUUGAUAGAAGCAGGGCCCUAACAAGAUGAGGUGGCUUUGCCUGCCUGAUGGCGUUAUAGACACCUGCCUUUUAGGAGUUUUUAAACAAAAUCUAUGUGCUUAGCACCCCAUUUUUGUUCAAGAGGACUCCAUCUUUGCCCACUGUUUGCCUCUCCAUCUUCUGUCUUCCGAGGAUAGAUCUCCCAGACAGGUUCUUGGGGGCAUUUUGAAAAUUAAAUGUGGAGGAAAGUCUGCGGCCAAGAAGACCUCAGGCUACAGGUGGUGAAGAAACCUCUCAGAGAGAACACCUGAUUUUAUCUGGGCAGGUGACCUUCCAGAAUGUCCAGCUUCCUUCGCAGUUAGGUGUGGCCACGUGGUGUAGCCACAUGACUAGGUUCUGCCAAUGGGACAUGAGCCAAAAUAUUGUGUGCAGCUUCUGGGUUAAGCCUUUAAGAGUAAGGGGUGUGUCUACCCUUUCCCUCUUUCUACUAGCAGGGACACGGGUGGGAGAACGAACCAUCCUGGUCACAAAGAUGAGGGAAACAUCCAAAAGAUGACAGAGCAACAAGAGGGGAAAAGCUUUGCCAAGGAAAGUCACUAUACUCCACAGGAGAGAGAGAGAAUCUUCUAACUUGUCAGAGCCAUUGGAUACCACUUCCUGCCUGCUUGAAUGGAUUUUCUCCCCAUGUCAAAGUCUGUGUCAGCCUGUGGAGGACACCUUUCAGUGCUCCCUGCCCCACUGUAAUGAGCCAGGGCAGGUUUGGGGUACUGCAAGGACCAACAAAGAAAGUUUGGGCAAUCCAUCUUGAUAUACAAUCCUUGAAAAGUUUCUCUGCCCACAUGCCAAGGAACCAAGGCCUGAAGAGAACAGAGAAACCAAGCAGACUUCAGCCCAAGAGCCUGCGGGGGAACUAAUUCCCUCCAACAACCACGUGGAGUAAGGUUGGAAGUGAAUUCUUCCCCAGAAGACGAUUGCGGUUCCUGGCCCACCCCUUGACAGCAGCCUUGUUAGAUUCCCAAGCCAGAGGACCCAACUAAGCCACAUCUGGAUUCCUGACCCAUAGAAACUGUGAGAUAAUAAAUGAAUGCUGUUUUAAGCUGUUUAAAUUGAGGGGGGGUGUAGUUUUUAAUGCUGCAGUAGAUAAAUAUUACAUCUGAGUAUAAAUCUUAGCAGAGCACUCUCCAGCAAGUGCAGCAAGGCACACUGCUAUGUGGAGUGUGGAUUACAAGUGAGCCCAGAAACUGCUCCUUCUAUCCACAGGGAUGCAAAGAACAGGUAGGUCAAGGCACACCCAGGAUAAGCAGAAUUCAAGAGCAUAUUGUCGCCAGCCGAGGGCAGUUUCAUUUCUCUACCCAUGUGUCAUACGAUGUCCUUGGGUUUUGUGCAUACAUGCCACGAUGUGCAAAAGGUAGGAAAGCACUGGAUUAGAAAACAACUUCCAUUUCUUCCAGAAUGUGCUUGGUAAUUUAUAUUUCCCAUGACAGUGUUCUCAAUGUUUCAUCACCUGGGAACUCACUAAAACUGCAAAUUUUCAGACUCCAUCUCAGACCUAAAUCAGGCACUCUAGGAAGGAGUCCUGUCAAUCGGUUUUCUUAAAAAGCUUCCAGGUGAUUGUAAUACAAGCUGAAGUCUGAGAAACACUGUUGCAGGAGUUUGUGCCUUUCACCUGGUUUCAAAUUUAUUGGCAAAUUAUGUCCUCUUUCCAAUUGCUAAUGUUGUUAGUGUUUUCUCCUCUUGGGCAACUCUGAAGCUUUAUCACUGCUACUGCUACUGCUAAGUCACUUCAGUCGUGUUCGACCCUGUGCGAUCCCAUAGACAGCAGCCCACCAGGCUCCCCCGUCCCUGGGAUUCUCCAGGCAAGAACCCUGGAGUGGGUU